UCAGGCCUAACACAUGCAAGUCGAACGGCAGCACGAGAGCAAUCCUGGUGGCGAGUGGCGAACGGGUGAGUAAUACAUCGGAACGUGCCCAAUCGCGGGGGAUAACGUAGCGAAAGCUACGCUAAUACCGCAUACGAUCUACGGAUGAAAGCGGGGGAUCGCAAGACCUCGCGCGAAUGGAGCGGCCGAUGGCAGAUUAGGUAGUUGGUGGGGUAAAGGCUCACCAAGCCAACGAUCUGUAGCUGGUCUGAGAGGACGACCAGCCACACUGGAACUGAGACACGGUCCAGACUCCUACGGGAGGCAGCAGUGGGGAAUUUUGGACAAUGGGCGCAAGCCUGAUCCAGCAAUGCCGCGUGCAGGAUGAAGGCCUUCGGGUUGUAAACUGCUAUUGUACGGAACGAAACGGCGAGCUCUAAUACAGUUGCUAAUGAC
rnacentral:rRNA from 1 species